rnacentral:rRNA from 1 species
CUCGGACUCGGAAUUACUGGGCGUAAAGCGUGCGUAGGUGGUCGUUUAAGUCCGUUGUGAAAGCCCUGGGCUAUUACUGGGCGUAAAGCGUGCGUAGGUGGUCGUUUAAGUCCGUUGUGAAAGCCUGGGCUCAACCUGGGAACUGCAGUGGAUACUGGACGACUAGAGUGUGGGUAGAGGGGUAGCGGAAUCAACUGGGAACUGCAGUGGAUACUGGACGACUAGAGUGUGGUAGAGGGUAGCGGAAUUCCUGGUUGUAGCAGUGAAAUGCGUAGAGAUCAGGAGGAACAUCCAUGGCGAAGGCAGCUUCCUGGUGUAGCAGUGAAAUGCGUAGAGAUCAGGAGGAACAUCCAUGGCGAAGGCAGCUACCUGGACCAACACUGACACUGAGGCACGAAAGCGUGGGGAGCAAACAGGAUUAGAUACCACCUGGACCAACACUGACACUGAGGCACGAAAGCGUGGGGAGCAAACAGGAUUAGAUACCCUGGUAGUCCACGCCCUAAACGAUGCGAACUGGAUGUUGGGUGCAAUUUGGCACGCAGUACUGGUAGUCCACGCCCUAAACGAUGCGAACUGGAUGUUGGGUGCAAUUUGGCACGCAGUAUCGAAGCUAACGCGUUAAGUUCGCGCCUGGGGGAGUACGGUCGCAGACUGAACUCAAUCGAAGCUAACGCGUUAAGUUCGCCGCCUGGGGAGUACGGUCGCAAGACUGAAACUCAA